rnacentral:tRNA from 1 species
AGGAUUAUAGUUUAAAUACAAAAACAUUUGAUUUGCAUUCAAAAAAUAUUAUUAAUUAUAAUUUAUCUU